rnacentral:rRNA from 1 species
GACAGAGGGUGCAAACGUUGUUCGGAAUUACUGGGCGUAAAGCGUGUGUAGGCGGUUUGGUAAGUCGGAUGUGAAAGCCCUGGGCUCAACCCAGGAAGUGCACUCGAAACUGCCAAGCUAGAGUAUCGGAGAGGUUGGUGGAAUUCUCGGUGUAGCGGUGAAAUGCGCAGAUAUCGGGAGGAACACCGGUGGCGAAGGCGGUUCUCUGGGCCUGUACUGACGCUGAGGAGCGAAAGCGUGGGGAGCGAACAGG